rnacentral:SRP_RNA from 1 species
GAGAGGUUGGCGCGGGCGAGCGCCUCGCCAACCCGGUCAGGUCCGGAAGGAAGCAGCCGUAACGAGCCCCACUUGG